rnacentral:rRNA from 1 species
UGCCUUAGUAACGGCGAGUGAAGCGGCAAAAGCUCAAAUUUGAAAUCUGGCACCUUCGGUGUCCGAGUUGUAAUUUGAAGAAGGUAACUUUGGAGUUGGCUCUUGUCUAUGUUCCUUGGAACAGGACGUCACAGAGGGUGAGAAUCCCGUGCGAUGAGAUGCCCAAUUCUAUGUAAAGUGCUUUCGAAGAGUCGAGUUGUUUGGGAAUGCAGCUCUAAGUGGGUGGUAAAUUCCAUCUAAAGCUAAAUAUUGGCGAGAGACCGAUAGCGAACAAGUACAGUGAUGGAAAGAUGAAAAGAACUUUGAAAAGAGAGUGAAAAAGUACGUGAAAUUGUUGAAAGGGAAGGGCUUGAGAUCAGACUUGGUAUUUUGCGAUCCUUUCCUUCUUGGUUGGGUUCUCCGCAGCUUACUGGGCCAGCAUCGGUUUGGAUGGUAGGAUAAUGACUAAGGAAUGUGGCUCUACUUCGGUGGAGUGUUAUAGCCUUGGUUGAUACUGCCUGUCUAGACCGAGGACUGCGUCUUUGACUAGGAUGUUGGCAUAAUGAUCUUAAGCCACCCGUCUUGAAACACGGACCAAGGAGUCUAACGUCUAUGCGAGUGUUUGGGUGUAAAACCCGUACGCGUAAUGAAAGUGAACGUAGGUGAGAGCUCUUAAGAGUGCAUCAUCGACCGAUCCUGAUGUCUUCGGAUGGAUUUGAGUAAGAGCAUAGCUGUUGGGACCCGAAAGAUGGUGAACUAUGCCUGAAUAGGGUGAAGCCAGAGGAAACUCUGGUGGAGGCUCGUAGCGGUUCUGACGUGCAAAUCGAUCGUCGAAUUUGGGUAUAGGGGCGAAAGAC